CCCUCUGCUCUGGAGCCAGGCUGGGAGAGCUGGGAAUGUCCAGCCUGGAGAAGAGAAAGCUCCAGGGAGAGCUCAGAGCC
rnacentral:miRNA from 12 species